rnacentral:rRNA from 1 species
CCUACGGGAGGCAGCAGUGGGGAAUAUUGGACAAUGGGCGAAAGCCUGAUCCAGCAACGCCGCGUGAGGGAUGACGGCCUUCGGGUUGUAAACCUCUUUCAGCAGGGACGAAGCGAAAGUGACGGUACCUGCAGAAGAAGCACCGGCCAACUACGUGCCAGCAGCCGCGGUAAUACGUAGGGUGCGAGCGUUGUCCGGAAUUAUUGGGCGUAAAGGGCUCGUAGGCGGUCCAUCGCGUCGGGAGUGAAAAGCUGGGGCUUAACCCCAGUCCUGCUUCCGAUACGGGUGGACUAGAGGUAGGCAGGGGAGAAUGGAAUUCCUGGUGUAGCGGUGAAAUGCGCAGAUAUCAGGAGGAACACCGGUGGCGAAGGCGGUUCUCUGGGCCUUACCUGACGCUGAGGAGCGAAAGCAUGGGGAGCAAACAGGAUUAGAUACCCCGGUAGUCAC